UGGGGACCUAGCAGCCUCCCCAUUCAAGACGCUUAGCGUCCAAGGCCUGC
rfam:Nitrosospira sp. 56-18 SCNpilot_expt_300_bf_scaffold_121, whole genome shotgun sequence.